rnacentral:rRNA from 1 species
CCUACGGGUGGCAGCAGUGAGGAAUAUUGGUCAAUGGCCGAAAGUCUGAACCAGCCAAGUCGCGUGAAGGACGACUGCCCUAUGGCUUGUAAACUUCUUUUAUAUGGGACUAAAAUGUUCCACGUGUGGGAUUUUGUAUGUACCAUAUGAUUAAGGAUCGGCUAACUCCGUGCCAGCAGCCGCGGUAAUACGGAGGAUCCGAGCGUUUUCCGGAUUUAUUGGGUUAAAGGGGAGCGUAGGUGGAUUGUGAAGUCAGUGGUGAAUGUUUGCGGCUCAACCGUAAAAUUGCCGUUGAAACUGGCAGUCUGGAGUGCGGUAGAGGUGGGCGGAAUGCGUGGUGUAGCGGUGAAAUGCUUAGAUAUCACGAAGAACUCCGAUUGCGAAGGCAGCUCAC